rnacentral:rRNA from 1 species
UAGGGAAUCUUCCACAAUGGACGCAAGUCUGAUGGAGCAACGCCGCGUGAGUGAAGAAGGUUUUCGGACCGUAAAGCUCUGUUGUUGGUGAAGAAGGAUAGAGGUAGUAACUGGCCUUUAUUUGACGGUAAUCAACCAGAAAGUCACGGCUAACUACGUGCCAGCAGCCGCGGUAAUACGUAGGUGGCAAGCGUUGUCCGGAUUUAUUGGGCGUAAAGCGAGCGCAGGCGGAAGAAUAAGUCUGAUGUGAAAGCCCUCGGCUUAACCGAGGAAUUGCAUCGGAAACUGUUUUUCUUGAGUGCA